AACUGAAUCAAGGAAACAGGUGCCCGUCAGGGCUUAAUAGGGAAGACCGGUGAAAUGCCGGCACGGUCCCGCCACUGUAAUGCGGAGCGACUCCAGUAAUGUCACUGAGGAGAUUGGGAAGACAGGAGAAGCGAGGAAGCAGAGUCAGGAGAACUGCCUGUUUUUAAUCACCGCAA
rnacentral:ncRNA from 18 species